rnacentral:sRNA from 1 species
AUGCUACCCAUGCAGGGAAGGAUGAGAAGCUUCGACUAAGGUUCGAUUCGAGCGCAGCGAGAAAGCGUUGCCGCAGGCAACGACCCGAAGGGCGAAGCGCAUCGCGCUGAGUCAUCCUUCCCCCGCCACCA